rnacentral:rRNA from 1 species
UCUGAAUCUGCGAACGGCUCCGCAUACCAGUUGUUGACUAUUGCAGGAAAGCCUCGGGUGAAGGUGCUUCAUUGCGCCCGAUCCCUUGGCUGCCAUGGAUAAUCCCGGUAAUUCUGAGACUAAUACAAGAACGUAAAACCUGACUGACUGGGCAACUAGGACGUUGGGGGUUGUGCGAGGAUUAACGCCAACUCAACAUAGGGAUGAAUACGCGCACGAUCGUACCGCCACACCAAACGAUCUUGGUUCUACGCUUAGUAUCGCAAGAGAAACGCUAGUCCUCGUUCGGGCGGUACCAGUACUGUGCUUCUGACCUAUCAACUAGACUGCGAUUCCAUGGACUGCAAUGGU